CUUUGGGUCAGAGGGCAUGACUCCUUUCCGUACACACUCCUCUGUUUAAAUUGAGAUCGUUCUUAAUAUAAUACGACGUUUAUCGACAUCUAACGAGUUAAUUUUUCUUGACGAGUCGUAUUGUAUUUCGAUUUUGACGGAAAAUACUUCCGGAAGGGAGACAACUCGAAACGAUAAUAUGGAAGACUCCAUUUCGGCUGAAGGGGUGUUAUAGGUAAAACUUUUAUGCAAAUUAUGCAACAACAAUAACCCUCAAUAGCAGACAGACAUAGAAAGAAUCCCAUGAGUUUCAAAUUAAUCAAUGAAGCGGGGAAUCCAGAGCAACCACUCAAUCUGAUACCCCUUGAAAUCAAGAAAACUAUACGCAUGCGCAUUAAUACAUAAACAAACCCGCGACUUGCGAUUUGGAACAAGAACGUUUAUUAAAUGAUAUGAUGAAUGGUUCUCCAUUUCUUUAUGAGAGUACAGUAUCAAAUAUCAGUUUCAUAACGGUAAAAUAUAGAAAAACUCCACUUCAGUUCUUAUAUGACAGAAAUAGAAUUAUCGGAAUUCAGAGAACUCUCGCAUUUAUCAAAACUGGGGAAUUCCCUCUGACGUGUUUCUAAAUUU
rnacentral:lncRNA from 1 species